CAGAUGCCCUUUAUACUGAUUACAAAGCACAGAUUUCUCCAGCCAGGUGAGGGAAAACAAUAUCGGAUGGAAAGCUUGUGAGAGGGCAGAGAUGAGAAGAGGCGCCGGGGAGAGAGGCACCCACGUGUGUGUUUAUCCAUUUAUGAAAAUGGGGAAUCCAGAGGCAAACAAGCUCAGCAGUCCCUCGGUGCAGACUGACUUUGGCAGGAAAUGUGUUCUUGGCCCUUCCCAGAGAAGACAUGGCAUACUGCAAGAAUAGAUGGGAGCUGUAGACAGCUUGAACCAUGGUGCAAGGUGCCUCCAAAGCCCU